rnacentral:rRNA from 1 species
GAUGAACGCUAGCGGAAGGCAUAAUACAUGCAAGUCGAACGGAUGUAGCAAUACAUUAGUGGCGCACGGGUGCGUAACGCGUAUGCAACCUACCUUCAUCAGGGGGAUAACUACCCGAAAGGGUGGCUAACACCGCAUAAUACUAUUGAGUGGCAUCACUUGAUAUUUAAAUCUGAGGAGGAUGAAGAUGGGCAUGCGUCUGAUUAGCUAGUUGGUGUGGUAACGGCGCACCAAGGCGACGAUCAGUAGGGGAACUGAGAGGUUGGUCCCCCACACUGGCACUGAGCUACGGGCCAGACUCCUACGGGAGGCAGCAGUAGGGAAUAUUGGGCAAUGGUGGGAACACUGAACCAGCCAUUCCGCGUGCAGGAAGAAGGGUCUCUGACUUGUAAACUGCUUUAGCAAGGGAAGAAAAAGCUCAUGCGUGAGAAAUUGACGGUACCUUGAGAAUAAGCACCGGCUAACUACGUGCCAGCCGCCGCAGUAACAC